rnacentral:rRNA from 1 species
AGCGAACGCUGGCGGCAGGCUUAACACAUGCAAGUCGAGCGGGCCCUUCGGGGUCAGCGGCGGACGGGUGAGUAACGCGUGGGAACGUGCCUUCUGGUUCGGAAUAACCCUGGGAAACUAGGGCUAAUACCGGAUACGCCCUUUUGGGGAAAGGUUUACUGCCGGAAGAUCGGCCCGCGUCUGAUUAGCUAGUUGGUGGGGUAACGGCCUACCAAGGCGACGAUCAGUAGCUGGUCUGAGAGGAUGAUCAGCCACACUGGGACUGAGACACGGCCCAGACUCCUACGGGAGGCAGCAGUGGGGAAUAUUGGACAAUGGGCGCAAGCCUGAUCCAGCCAUGCCGCGUGAGUGAUGAAGGCCUUAGGGUUGUAAAGCUCUUUUAUCCGGGACGAUAAUGACGGUACCGGAGGAAUAAGCCCCGGCUAACUUCGUGCCAGCAGCCGCCGCGG